UGUUUUGUUGGAAGCCCAUAUUAGAUGUGCUUUAGCCUUGUGUGUUUGUAAUUGGGGGCUUUGUCCAGCAACAAGCCACCCGAUCACACCAUAGCAGCAAGAAGCCAACGACAUCCUGUGGCUCACACUGACAGUGUUAAUGGAGAGCACAGCGCCACAGCUAUUAGGACCGGACCGUUUAUAAAUUUAACCAAUGGAGCCCUGGGUUGACGGUUCGAGUGAGGCAAAGGUAUCAUGCUUGUCUACCUUGGGUAGAGGCGGCAUUCUUGUUUUUUCGUGGCAUAGCCACAGUAUUUACCCUACCUGCAACAGUUGAUAAAUACUGUAGAUAUAUGCAUGCAUGGCUUCAUUGAAGCUUGGCCUCCAUUGUAGGAAUAUAUGCAUGCAUGGCUUCAUUAUUGAAGCUUGGACUCCAUUGUAGGAAUAUAUUCACUCUGUUCGGCUGGCUUGUCAGCCAACCAGCCAGCAGUGUUUUUCUCUCACACCAAAUCAACACCAGCCAUCAGCUACCAGCCAGCCAGCAAUAUUUUUCUCUCACAACAAAUUAGCACCAGCCACAGCCAGCCGAACAGAGUGAUUGUUUCGACCGACCAUAAGAAGAAUUUUUCCCUGCUGUGAAAUGAAUCUCUUUAUAUUCCUGUUUUUUUAAAUUGCCAUAUACUGACCAAAAAAGGGACAGUAGAUGGUCUUGCUGUGAAAGCACAGGUCUUCCAUUGCGUACUUCCUUUCAGUUGUUGGCUUACUAUAUCUCUGGACACUUUAGCAUAAGACAAUGUACUACGUCCUAUCUACCUUAACCCUUGAUCAAUUGAGAUGUCUUUAUUCUGGACAUAUAUGUAUAUUAUCAUUCACUGUUGCAUACUUACUGCAGCCACAAGUUCUGAAACACAGGUGACAUAAAACCUCCGUGCAAAAUGAUGGGACAAGGAUUCUGCCAAAGAGCCCCUCUUUGUCAGGAAUCAGCAAUGCGCGGCCUGCAACAUAAACGUAAAGCUACCCUUCAGGGUCAUCCAAGUUCAGAGACCUCCAAUGUCAAACAGCUAAGACAAGCAUCCGCCUUUUUAUUGCCUCAUGGAGAAUCAGAGUCAACAUCACACAUGCCACACCGCGAAGUAGUGCUUAGGUAUCAUCACAUGUCGCUACCUACAUGAUAAUGCACAUAACUCGGCUGCUGCUCAACCUUCUUACGGUAUUCAUGUUGUUGCCAUCCGGCCCUUUUUGACAACCCUACAAGCGCCAUCGUUGACUCCAAGGUAAAUCAUCAUUGUUUGAUGUCUGUUCUAUUAUGUUGCAUGUUACUAUCUAUAUUCCACAUUCAUUGUUACUACAGUUCCAUAUAUACUGUAUUACACAUAAACCAUGGGUCUAUGUUUACAUAGCUUAUUCCCUCGCAAAGUCUCAUUGUUAUUAGUCCAGUUUCAUAUAUACUGUAUUAUAUAAAUGUUUAAUUUUCUUUUCUCAUGAGAAGUAGUAAUCUGAAGUAUCUCUUCGACUUAAUUCUCACAACAAUUAUUUCCUGCACUGCUCUGCAAUUAACAUAUUAAUUUACCUUGCUAAUUAUGUUCUCCACUAUGACAUGCAUCUAGCAAACUGAUAUUUGCUCUGCUCUGUGACUUACAUAUUCAUUUACAAUGCUAAUUUGGCUCUCUAACUAGCAUAUUAAUUUACCUGUGCCAUCCUGUUGGGACAAGGGGGCAUACAACACUUAAAGUUGGACAAGUUACCGGUCAGACAAAAAAUCGAGGGAGAUGCUGUAAUUCUUGACAGACUAAUCUGCUCUCUUAAUCUUUCUCUAAGUUCCUAAUCCUUAUUUGCAUGGAAUUAUACUGUCAGCAUCAACCUUCUCUGGUGACUCUUUCCUAGUUGAUCUGCUUCUCGGGACGAAAUUCUUUUAAGGGGAGGGCUGUAACACCCAGGGUGUUAAUUUUGUGCAUUAGUCUCUAAUCAUCACUUAAGCAUGGUCAUUAGUGUUAAUCAAGCUGGCUUUGUUUAAUUCAGUCUUGGCCGAGCUUUAUGUGCGUUUUU